rnacentral:rRNA from 1 species
UACGGAGGGGGCGAGCGUUAUUCGGAAUUAUUGGGCGUAAAGCGCGCGCAGGUGGUUCCUUAAGUCUGAUGUGAAAGCCCACGGCUCAACCGUGGAGGGUCAUUGGAAACUGGGGAACUUGAGUGCAGAAGAGGAAAGUGGAAUUCCAAGUGUAGCGGUGAAAUGCGUAGAGAUUUGGAGGGACACCAGUGGCGAAGGCGACUUUCUGGUCUGUAACUGACACUGAGGCGCGAAGGCGUGGGGAGCAAACAGG